rnacentral:rRNA from 1 species
UACGGAGGAGGCAAGCGUUAUCCGGAAUUAUUGGGCGUAAAGGGCUCGUAGGCGGUUUGUCGCGUCGGGAGUGAAAACCUUGGGCUUAACUCAGGGCUUGCUUUCGAUACGGGCAGACUAGAGGUAUGCAGGGGAGAACGGAAUUCCUGGUGUAGCGGUGAAAUGCGCAGAUAUCAGGAGGAACACCGGUGGCGAAGGCGGUUCUCUGGGCAUUACCUGACGCUGAGGAGCGAAAGUGUGGGGAGCGAACAGG